AUAUCACUAAGCGGAGGAAAAGAAAUUAACUAAGAUUGCCCCAGUAACGGCGAGUGAAGCGGCAAAAGCCCAAAGUGGAAAUCUCCGUUCUUCGAACGGCGAAUUGUAAUCUAUAGGAGUUAAGCUCACCUGGUUGUGGCGCAUAAGUGUCUUAGAACGGACCGCCAAAGAGGGUGACAGCCCCGUAUUUGGUGCCGCGACCUAACGAGCUGGCUUCAAAGAGUCGGGUAGCUUUGAAUUGCUGCCCUAAGCUGGGAGAUAGACUUCUUCUAAGGCUAAAUAUUUAUGGGAGACCGAUAGCGCACAAGUA
rnacentral:rRNA from 1 species